AUUGAACGCUGGCGGCAUGCCUUACACAUGCAAGUCGAACGGUAACGGGCCUUCGGGUGCCGACGAGUGGCGAACGGGUGAGUAAUGUAUCGGAACGUACCUUUCAGUGGGGGAUAACGUAGCGAAAGUUACGCUAAUACCGCAUAUUCUGUGAGCAGGAAAGCAGGGGAUCGCAAGACCUUGCGCUGAUUGAGCGGCCGAUAUCAGAUUAGCUAGUUGGUGAGGUAAAGGCUCACCAAGGCGACGAUCUGUAGCGGGUCUGAGAGGAUGAUCCGCCACACUGGAACUGAGACACGGUCCGGACUCCUACGGGAGGCAGCAGUGGGGAAUUUUGGACAAUGGGGGCAACCCUGAUCCAGCCAUGCCGCGUGAGUGAAGAAGGCCUUCGGGUUGUAAAGCUCUUUCGGCCGGGAAGAAAUCGUAUGGGUUAAUACCCUGUGCGGAUGACGGUACCGGCAUAAGAAGCACCGGCUAACUACGUG
rnacentral:rRNA from 1 species